rnacentral:rRNA from 1 species
UACGUAGGGUGCGAGCGUUAACCGGAAUUACUGGGCGUAAAGCGUGCGCAGGCGGUUCUCCAAGUCCGUUGUGAAAGCCCCGGGCUCAACCUGGGAAUGGCAGUGGAAACUAGGGGACUGGAAUCUGGCAGAGGGGGGUGGAAUGCCGCGUGUAGCAGUGAAAUGCGUAGAGAUCAUGAGGAAGACCAGUGGCGAAGGCGGGUCUCUGGACAGUUCCUGACACUGAGGCACGAAGGCCAGGGGAGCGAACGGG